AAAUUUACAAAACUUUAUGAUCAUGAAAAAAUCCCAUAAUAUCUUGGACAACAUAUAAGCUUUUACUCUCAUAUACUAAUAUAGUGUUCAUUUCAAAAGAUAUACUUCAUCAAAGCAAAAGAAAAUCCAAUAUCUGAUGCAAGCAGUCAAGAUCAACACAUAAAGAGAAAAGGCAAAUCUGUAAGAGUUGUUCAAGGUAUGUAUAAAAGCCAUCUUGCUACAAAAAGAGAAGUUAUUAUAAUUCAGUAAGUCAUCUCAAAUAUUCAAGAAGCACU
rnacentral:lncRNA from 1 species